rnacentral:rRNA from 1 species
GACGAACGCUGGCGGCGUGCCUAAUACAUGCAAGUAGAACGCUGAAGGAGGAGCUUGCUUCUCUGGAUGAGUUGCGAACGGGUGAGUAACGCGUAGGUAACCUGCCUGGUAGCGGGGGAUAACUAUUGGAAACGAUAGCUAAUACCGCAUAAUAGUAGAUGUCGCAUGACAUUUGCUUAAAAGGUGCAAUUGCAUCACUACCAGAUGGACCUGCGUUGUAUUAGCUAGUUGGUGAGGUAACGGCUCACCAAGGCAACGAUACAUAGCCGACCUGAGAGGGUGAGCGGCAACACUGGGACUGAGACACGGCCCAGACUCCUACGGGAGGCAGCAGUAGGGAAUCUUCGGCAAUGGACGGAAGUCUGACCGAGCAACGCCGCGUGAGUGAAGAAGGUUUUCGGAUCGUAAAGCUCUGUUGUAAGAGAAGAACGAGUGUGAGAGUGGAAAGUUCACACUGUGACGGUAUCUUACCAGAAAGGGACGGCUAACUACGUG